CGUCACCAUGGCAACCCCUGGAGCGCCCUCCCCCGACGGGCUCUCAGAUGCACCGCCCCGCCCCCCAGGGCCUCAGGGACCCCGCGGGGAGCGGGGCGGGGCCAGAUUGGCGGAGCCGCGUAUAAAGGCCGGGCGCUGCCGCGGUCUCGCAGGGAGAGGAGAGCGGAGAGGCGAGAUGGCGAUUUUGCCGCGGCUGCUGCCGCUUCUGCUUCUCCUCCUCGCCGCCUCUUCGGCCGCCCUUCUGGCCACCGGCGCCCAUUCUUCCUGACCCGGGCCUCUGGCCCAUACCGUGUACUCCACGUUCAUGUUCGAGGCCACUUUGGCUCCGCUAGGUGGGCUUGCGAGUCCGCGCACCCGCACGCGGCGCCUGGCGCACCCGCUUCGGCGGACGGAGCUGGCCCGACUCCUCGCCUUGGUGUUCCCCUCCCGCAGCGGGGGAUCGGGGGCACCGAGAACCGGAGCGCAGGGGACCCUCAGGCCUCCGGGGCCCCACACCGGCUCCGCACACGCCAGCGUAGCGCCCCCGAAACGCGCCUGGCCUCCAGCUCAGCGCAGAGCAGAGGGCGGCCUCCAACCCGGACUUGGACACUUGUAAACCUUGGAGCAGCAUCGCACGUCGUGUUCCACGAACGACUGUUGCUGACUCAUAGGGAGAGUUCCCAGGACUCCUGUCCAGGGCCAGCAAACCUCUCAGUGGGCUCCCCGCAGAGUCCAGGGCAGCCACGGACCAGGGGUCACAGGCUCUUGUGUGGUCACCCACCUAGGGACCUUAAAACCAAGGUCCCCUUGGACUCCAGGCCGGGCAAAGGUCAGUCACUAAUGCACACUGGGAUGCCCCUGGCCCCCGCUGAGCCUGGCGGCCCUCCAGCUCAUCUGACUGGGCUUGAGUGUCCUCCCGUGGCCGGAAAAGCCCCAUCCCACAGUCUGCCAUUCCGCAACAUGUGCGCAGUUGCAUGUUCUCCAUCCAGGGUCCCCACCUUGGAUGCCCUGCUGAGUAGGAGACUGCCACUCACCAGCACCAAGAGGCCUUUGGGUGCCCCUCAACUUGGGGAACCAAAGUCAAGGUUUCUGGCUCAGUUUCCCCCCAGGACAAGGGGCCACCUUCACAUGCAGCUGAGAGCGCCCUGCGGGCCCCUGCCCGCUGCCCACCAAGCUGCCUGCAGUUGA
rnacentral:lncRNA from 1 species